rnacentral:rRNA from 1 species
GUCGAGGGGUAGAGGAAGCUUGCUUCCUUGAGACCGGCGCACGGGUGCGUAACGCGUAUACAAUCUACCUUUUACAGAGGGAUAGCCCAGAGAAAUCUGGAUUAAUACCUCAUAGUAUUUUCGGAUCGCAUGAUUUGAUUAUUAAAGUUCCAACGGUAAAAGAUGAGUAUGCGUCCCAUUAGCUAGAUGGUAAGGUAACGGCUUACCAUGGCGAUGAUGGGUAGGGGUCCUGAGAGGGAGAUCCCCCACACUGGUACUGAGACACGGACCAGACUCCUACGGGAGGCAGCAGUGAGGAAUAUUGGACAAUGGGCGCAAGCCUGAUCCAGCCAUGCCGCGUGCAGGAAGACGGUCCUAUGGAUUGUAAACUGCUUUUAUACAGGAAGAAACACUCGGACGUGUCCGAACUUGACGGUACUGUAUGAAUAAGCAUCGGCUAACUCCGUGCCAGCAGCCGCGGUAAUACGGAGGAUGCAAGCGUUAUCCGGAAUCAUUGGGUUUAAAGGGUCCGUAGGCGGUUUAAUAAGUCAGUGGUGAAAGCCCAUCGCUCAACGAUGGAACGGCCAUUGAUACUGUUAAACUUGAAUUAUUAGGAAGUAACUAGAAUAUGUAGUGUAGCGGUGAAAUGCUUAGAGAUUACAUGGAAUACCAAUUGCGAAGGCAGGUUACUACUAAUAUAUUGACGCUGAUGGACGAAAGCGUGGGGAGCGAACAGGAUUAGAUACCCUGGUAGUCCACGCCGUAAACGAUGGAUACUAGCUGUUCGGAGCAAUCUGAGU